rnacentral:lncRNA from 1 species
GGAAAAUCCUAAAAACUGAGAUUACAGAGACUCAGUGUGGGUGUCUGUUCGUUACCUGAAACAGCUACUUUUCCCGGUCUUCACGGAUGCCUGGUGCAGGACGAGACCCCGAGGAGGUGCCACCGAGACUGCGGAGCCCCUGUGCGCGCUGUGCUGAGAGCCCGUGUUCUUCCCUCUCGGCAGCCCUCGGGUGUCUGGGGUGCCCGGGUCCUGGCUGCACAGCCGAGCAUACGAGAAGACAGGCCCUUGGGCGGCUGCACGGAGAGCUGGGUAGUUCGAUGAGUGACCGACCUCUCUGUCCUCCUCGGGGGACGCCGGAAGCUGGUCCUUACGGCCGUCACCGCCCGCGGAGCUGCAGGGACGAGCCACGCUGGUGCCUGUGCCGAUCUCCACUGAAACUCUCGAAGACGUCCCCUGCCUUUUGCCAAAGCAGGACCCUGCCCUGCCCCCAGCGCCACCCAGCCUGGUGAUGCAGUCAGCGCCUUCUGCUCUUCAGUCCCCAUAUCUGUAGCAAGCUGUAAGUAACCUGUUCACUGGCAUGUUGUCUACUUGUUUGCAAGAACGCGGGAGCCUGAGGCCCGGGACUGCGUUCCUCUUGUGUCUCCAGUUCUCGGCACGUGCCUGGCACACGCUGUGCGUCCAGUAAAUACUUUCUGACUGACUAAUUCCUAAAGGUCUGUAUCAAAUGCUAGCUCCUUGUCCGCGGUGUCUUCUCCUCCCAAGCAGCGGGAACGUCUCCUUUGUCUGCAGUCCCGUAGCUCUCUCUCUGUUCUCCGUUACAGCUCUCGCCUUUGCCUCUUAGCACUGUUUGCAGGGGUGGUUGCAUCCUCCCAGUUCCUCAGGUUCCUGUUGUGGUGUCUUAGUGAUCUUCUUAUACUCCCGUUGUGUCUGGCGCAGAAUAGGUGCUCAAUGAAUGCUGAUUGAAUUGAUUUGAAUAAUUGAAAGAACUUUCAAUAGAAAAGGCAACUAAAAAAAAUGUUAGAGAGGUUUAUUUAAAAACGAAACCACGGUAAGCGCUGGACUCCUUGCCAACAAUGGUCACAUUUCCUGGCUGUCCUAGAGGUCUUGGAGAGCAGCCUAAACACCAAUCUCCACUGGUCCGAAUCGGCCCCAUUAAACGCUCCCCGGGCCUGUGAGACGGUGGAUCGGGAGCCAAUCUGGACGGCUGGGAUUUCCCUCCUCCAGGCCCUCCCGGCCCCAGGAACGGCCUGGCCGUGGAGGCUUUCAAGGAGGAGACUCCGCCGUGGCCGUGAGGGCUGGCCGGUGCUGAUCCUUCCCGACCUUUCAGAAGUUUCUUCCAACUGAGGAGGAAGCCUGGGGGAGGAGGAAUGCAUAGGCGGGACUGCAGCGAAGACUUAGGGCGAAAGGAAGGUCUCUGUCCCAGCCGGGACACUGGCCGGGAGCGACCUUACCACGCUGAGCUCCUUUCAUUGUAUCUGUGACACAGUACACAUCUCAGAGCGUUGCUGC